AGACUUUAAUUUCCUUUUUUAUCUUUCACAAAAUUAUCGGUGAUUAGGUAGUAGAGUCAUUCAUGCACCAUAUGCGGAUCUCCGAUCGCCAAUUUGAAUUCCCGCUCCUCUCCCAAAAACCUAGCAGUCGUUGUUGCUUCUCCCACGACAUUUCCUCUUCACCCUUCAAGAUUAUCAAGUGUUCGACAUCAUUCGCCAUCACUUCCGACGUAUCACAACCGAUUUCAUCACACUAUUGCAUUAAAGAAUCUAUUAGUUUCUCAACAUAAGCCCUAGCGAUUAAGAAUAUUGAUCAAUGUGCGUGGAUUUAAUAGGUCAGUUUCACAGGGCUUAUGUGAGAUGCUGAUUCCUUAGGUUUUUGGGGGACUCAGACAUGUGGAUAUCCCAGGCGAGUUAUAUUAAAAUAGAAAUGCUCAAACACAAUUACAAAGAGUACAGAAAUGAAAAUUUUGAAACAAGCAUGUUCGAAACUACAUGUCAGGAGUAAAAUCACAAUGGUAAGUUUACAAAGCAGAAUCUGCACCAUCUUUGCCACUCUAGGUUGUGUACUUUCGCCCGACUCCUAAUCCAAAAUAAUGAGGCUGCUUUGAUAUCACCCGGCAGUUUCGUCAAGGAAGGUGGUUUGUUUUUAAAGAUCCUUUCAUUUUGCGUCUUCCAUACCAUCCACCAUGUCGUGGCAACAAUUUGGUAAAUCGCUUUCUUGUUUGCCUUGGGAUGGCUGGAGUAAUUGAUUCUUUGCUUGUAAACAUUGUAUAUUUAUGUUAUCAGAGCCUAAGCCUGCAUUAGUAAUAUUGGUUUUACAUUUGCAGGGCUUAAAGUUUUUUUUAAAGGUUUUGUUUGUGGGAGAUUAAGAUGGAGGUGGAUUAGAAAGAGGUUUAAAUGGAGUGUUGAUAGGAAAUGAUAAGUUAAGAAGAAGACGAUGGAACACAAGGCUUUGAAGUUGCAGGAAGUAGCUUUUGUUUUUUUAGUGCAAAUAUUGGAUGUGGGUUACGCAUUUGUUUCUACUUCUGUCGUAAUGUCAUCAAUUGAAGCCCUAAUUUGUGGUCGGGGUCUGCUACAGUGGGUGGAUAUUUCGAUUAAGCUGGUUCUGGAAGUGGCGCAAAAGUUGGUGGAGAAUAAGGUUAGAACGGAUUGUGGAUAAUCAAUGGGUUCUCAACAAUUUUCCUCCUAUCACUGUAAGUGUCUAUUUUAAUAACACCAAAUCUUAACCUAAAAAAAUUAACAACUUAGGGUAAAAAAGUUCUCUAUAUACAAAUCAGGGAGAUCUGUAUAAUAAGAGAAAUCUUGCUCGGACAGUGAAAUUCAGUCUGUGAUUAUUCUGUUUUUUGAACAGUGAGAAAUGGAGAUAGGUGGAUUUUUAUCUUGAUGUUACUGACAUUGAUACAUUGGAUUGUAUAUCAGGUUGCAGUCAUGACCCUUUGAUAUACAUACGGUCAAACGAUCCACUUUGAUCCGACCCACGUAUGUCGGAUCCGUAACCCGGAAUAAACCCAUGAAGAUGCAUUCACCCCAUGCCUACGUGAAGAGUGGGCCACCUUGAGCCAACUGCCCACGAUUCCCAUUUUACCCAUUUGAAGUAUUUUAGUUUCUUUUAGUUUAUACUAUUUUCUCACUUUUAAUUAAUUUAUUUAGUAGUGGUCUAGGUGGUUAGUAGAAGUUAUUUUGUAAUUGCUAUAUGUAUGGGUUCGACACUAAUGAAAAGGCAGUGAGUUUAUGUUUGAGAAAAGAAUUUUGUUGAUUUAUCUCUUGAGUGUGAGAGUUAAAUUAAUGUGUCUAUGCUAGCUCAAUUGUGGCAUAUUGAGUGGUGUUCUUAGACCCGAAUUUAUAACCGGAGUGGUGAUUUCUGUAUCUUCGGGAGUGAUUCGCAGCCCUACUGUUGGUUUUGGUGGUGUAUCUGUAUCCAAAACGAACCGUAGAUCUAUCUUUUAUUUUACCGUUUUAAUUGAACCGGUGAUACGGGGAUUUUCUCCUAUCACCCUUGCUGUGAUGGCCAUGAAGUUAAGUUGUAUGAGUGUUCUGCGUUGAAGUUGCGGAGGUGGUAGCAGGGUAUAUUACUAACCCAAUCCCAAAAAAAGAUCAAGAUUAAAGGUUUUGAUUUAGUCAAAUGUUAGUUGAUGUAUUGCUAGGAAAAAGCAGCUCGAUUAUCUGAAUCUUCAUUUAUUAUAUUGGUCGUUGCAGGUUUUCUUUAAAAACCCAUAAUAUGUUCGCAUUAGGGCCUCCUUAACCUACGUUUUAGUGAAAUUGGAAACCUAAAUUGGACUUAGUUUUGACUUUUUUUUUUUCAGAUAGGUACCUGGUGGCAGGGCAACACCUGGUUGUAUCAUUAAUGUAAUUGGAGAGCCUAUUGAUCAUAGAGGUGAAAUUAGUAAGUUAUGUGACUCAGGAAUGGCCCUGCUAUCAGUUCCCCUGUGGUGAUUAUUUACGUCUGAAAAGACAAGUUGACGUGGCAUGGUGUGAGCAAAAGUGGUGGCUGCAGAAUCAUCAGCAGGUAGCAAGCCUGCGUCAAGUGGAGGCAUGUUUCUUUUCAAGUGAGAAUCAUAAAAGGCACAUCCUUGAGUUCAUGGGAUGCAAGUGAUAAAUCGUUGCUCCUGUUUGCCUUGAGUUGCAUUGCUUCAAUAACAAAACUGGUCCAUACGGGAGUUGGUACUUUGACCCGUUUACUUAUGAAUUGAUUGGAAUGUCUAUUGCUGCUAAUUGGGUGUCUUGCAACUUCAUAUAUCCACUCAGAGAGGUUGGGUAUCAGUAAGCUUCUGUUUGGAACCAUGCACCUCAAAGCAUAUAAUUGGGGGGUGGUUGUUGCUUUAAGCUCUACCCCUAAAGCUAAUUCAUCAAAAUUAAACCAAAAGAGUCAUCUACUCUUGAACCUUCAAAGCAUUACUUACAACCAUUUUUGCAUAGAGCGGUGUUCACAGUACCAAAUCAUACCAUCCAGUCGGAGCGGAAACUAGCUACAAAGCGGUGUUCACAGUACCAAAUCAUACCAUCCAGUCGGAACGGAAACUAGCUACAAAAGUAACCGUGUCAACUACUCCUGAACCACCUUCAUUUGGGCUCACUGGUUUUCAUGCCGAUUAUUGAACCGAAGACUUGGUGGUUGAACUAAAUUUUUAAAGCUUUUUAAACAUUUUUAAAGUUUUUUCCUUUCUAAAAUAGUAAGAUCUCAUCUAAUAAUUAAUUUUAAACUUCAGCCCCUAUGUUUUGCAUUGCAAAAAGUUAAAUUACUUCCGUA